rnacentral:rRNA from 1 species
UACGUAGGGCGCAAGCGUUGUCCGGAAUUAUUGGGCGUAAAGAGCUCGUAGGCGGCUGUUCAAGUCGAACGUGAAAACUCGGAGCUCAACUCCGAGCCUGCGUUCGAUACUGGACGGCUAGAGUCUGGUAGGGGGAUCUGGAAUUCCUGGUGUAGCGGUGGAAUGCGCAGAUAUCAGGAGGAACACCGAUGGCGAAGGCAGGUCUCUGGGCCGAUACUGACGCUGAGGAGCGAAAGCGUGGGGAGCGAACAGG